rnacentral:tRNA from 16 species
UCGGUUCGGUGGUUCAGUGGUUGGGUGUUCAAUUGGUAAUCGGAAGGGCUGGGUUCGUUCCCCAUGCCAUUGAA